GAUGAACGCUGGCGGCGUGCUUAACACAUGCAAGUCGAACGAAGCAUUUAAGACAGAUUACUUCGGUUUGAAGUCUUUUAUGACUGAGUGGCGGACGGGUGAGUAACGCGUGGGUAACCUGCCUCAUACAGGGGGAUAGCAGCUGGAAACGGCUGGUAAUACCGCAUAAGCGCACAGUACCACAUGGUACAGUGUGAAAAACUCCGGUGGUAUGAGAUGGACCCGCGUCUGAUUAGCUUGUUGGCGGGGUAACGGCCCACCAAGGCGACGAUCAGUAGCCGGACGGAGAGGGUGAGCGGACACCACGGGGCGGCGGCACGAGAGAGACAUCGGCGGGAGAUGAGGGGGGAGAAUAGUGCAGAAUGGACGAGCAGCUGAGGCGGAGGCGCAGGGGGAAGAGAAAAGAAUGCCGAGAUGAAGAGCUCAAGCAGAGGGGAAGAAAACGACGGUACCGGCCAGAGAGGCCGCGAAAAAAGGCGAGACGGCGGCAGGGAGAAUACGGGGAAGAGCAGGCUGCUGAGC
rnacentral:rRNA from 1 species